rnacentral:tRNA from 1 species
GCCUGGGUGGCUCAGUCGGUUGGGCGUCCGACUUUGGCUCAGGUCAUGAUCUCAGUUUGUGGGUUCAAGCCCCGUGUCAGGCU